GACGAACGCUGGCGGCGUGCUUAACACAUGCAAGUCGAACGGAAAGGCCCUGCUUUCGUGGUGUGCUGGAGGGGCGAACGGGUGAGUAAGACGAGUGUAACGUGACCUAGAUUUUGGGAUAACUUCAGGAAACUGGGGCUACUACCGGAUAGGAGCUCCUGCAGCGUGGUGGGGGUUGGAUAGUUGCGGCGGUUGGGGCUGGACUCGCGGAUUAUCAGCUUGUUGGUGGGGUAGUGGCUUGCCGAGGCUUUGACGGGUAGCCGGCCUGAGAGGGUGGCCGGCCACAUUGGGCCUGCGAUACGCCGCAGUCUCCAACGGGGGACAGCGGUCGGGAGCAUUGCGCAGUGGGCCGAAGCCUGAUGCGGCAGCGCCGCGGGCGGGAUGACGGCCUUCGGGUUGAAAACCGCUUUCGCCUGUGACGAAGCGGGUGUGACGGUAAUGGGUAAAGAAGCACCGGCUAACUUCGUG
rnacentral:rRNA from 1 species